rnacentral:rRNA from 1 species
AGUGAACGCUGGCGGUAGGCCUAACACAUGCAAGUCGAACGGCAGCACAGUAAGAGCUUGCUCUUACGGGUGGCGAGUGGCGGACGGGUGAGGAAUACAUCGGAAUCUACUUUUUCGUGGGGGAUAACGUAGGGAAACUUACGCUAAUACCGCAUACGACCUACGGGUGAAAGCAGGGGAUCUUCGCACCUUGCGCGAUUGAAUGAGCCGAUGUCGUAUUAGCUAGUUGGCGGGGUAAAGGCCCACCAAGGCGACGAUCCGUAGCUGGUCUGAGAGGAUGAUCGGCCACACUGGAAGUGAGACACGGUCCAGACUCCUAAGGGAGGCAGCAGUGGGGAAUAUUGGGCAAUGGGCGCAAGCCUGAUACAGCCAUACCGCGUGGGUGAAGAAGGCCUUCGGGUUGUAAAGCCCUUUUGUUGGGAAAGAAAAGCAGCAGGUUAAUACCCCGCUGUUCUGACGGUACCCAAAGAAUAAGCACCGGCUAACUUCGUG